rnacentral:lncRNA from 1 species
UUCAAGGAGGCUGCCUGAGGCCUUAUUAGAAAUUAGGGUUUCUCUUUCAAAGUCAUUCGAGCUUUGAAGGCUAGGCUCAGCAAGUUAAGGGUUUUGGGUAUAAUUUGAAUAAAGUUUUUUUAUGAUUUCAAGUUUUUUUUGAAGGAGAUAUAGGUGUUCAAAGUUAAGGUGUCUAAUUUGUGCCUACUGUCAUUCUUUGAAGCAUAACAUAUGCGUACAGAGAGCAAUGAAAGAUCGGCAACUUAAGUUGGAGAGAGCACUUUCUUGGCUAUACUUUACAUAUAUUGUUUGAUGAAUUUCAAGUCUGAAUGAAGGAGUUAUAGACAUUUGAAGACAGCACAUAUAAUUCAAUGGGAGUAAGUGAGUCAUUUUGUUGAUAGUAAUGGUUGGAGCCAUAUCUUGAGUUCUUCGACGAAUUUUUGGUUCAACAUUUUUAUAAGUGUGAAUUAUUAAGUUAAAGAGCUAUAGAUAAAAGUUUCAUGGUAUUUGAGUACUUAUUUUGUGAGAUAUAAAGAAAUUA